AGGGUUUGAUCAUGGCUCAGAACGUACGCUGGCGGCACGCCUAAUACAUGCAAGUCGAACGAAGUAGCAAUACUUAGUGGCAGACGGGUGAGUAACAUGUAGGUAUCUUCCCUUUGGUGAGGAAUAACACGAGGAAACUUGUGCUAAUACCUCAUAAGUCUUUACGGAGAAAGCUUUAUGCGCCAAUGGAUGAGCCUGCACUUGAUUAGUUUGUUGGUGAGGUAAUGGCUCACCAAGACAAUGAUCAAUAGCUGAUUUGAGAGGAUGAUCAGCCACAUUGGGACUGAGACACGGCCCAAACUCCUACGGGAGGCAGCAGUAGGGAAUCUUGCACAAUGGGGGAAACCCUGAUGCAGCGAUGCCGCGUGAGUGAAGAAGGCCCUUGGGUUGUAAAGCUCUUUCGUCGGGGAAGAAAAUGACUGUACCCGAAUAAGAAGGUCCGGCUAACUUCGUGCCAGCAGCCGCGGUAAUACGAAGGGACCUAGCGUAGUUCGGAAUUACUGGGCUUAAAGAGUUCGUAGGUGGUUAAAAAAGUUGGUGGUGAAAUCCCAGAGCUUAACUCUGGAACUGCCAUCAAAACUUUUUAGCUAGAGUAUGAUAGAGGAAAGCAGAAUUUCUAGUGUAGAGGUGAAAUUCGUAGAUAUUAGAAAGAAUACCGAUUGCGAAGGCAGCUUUCUGGAUCAUUACUGACACUGAGGAACGAAAGCAUGGGUAGCGAAGAGGAUUAGAUACCCUCGUAGUCCAUGCCGUAAACGAUGUGUGUUAGACGUUGGAAAUUUAUUUUCUGUGUCGCAGCGAAAGCAAUAAACACACCGCCUGGGGAGUACGACCGCAAGGUUAAAACUCAAAUGAAUUGACGGGGACCCGCACAAGUAGUGGAGCAUGUGGUUUAAUUCGAAGAUACGCGCAGAACCUUACCAACACUUGACAUGUUCGUCGCGACUUUAAGAGAUUAAAGUUUUCGGUUCGGCCGGACGAAACACAGGUGCUGCAUGGCUGUCGUCAGCUCGUGUCGUGAGAUGUUGGGUUAAGUCCCGCAACGAGCGCAACCCUCACUUUUAGUUGCCAUCAUUUAGUUGGGCACUCUGAAAGAACUGCCAGUGAUAAGCUGGAGGAAGGUGGGGAUGACGUCAAGUCCUCAUGGCCCUUACGUGUUGGGCUACACACGUGCUACAAUGGCAUUUACAAUAGGAAGCAAGACGGCGACGUUAAGCAAAUCCUAAAAAAAUGCCUCAGUUCGGAUUGUACUCUGCAACUCGAGUACAUGAAGCUGGAAUUACUAGUAAUCGCGGAUCAGCGCGCCGCGGUGAAUACGUUCCCGGGUCUUGUACACACCGCCCGUCACACCAUGGGAGUUGGUUCUACCUUAAGGCAAAGCUUAAAAACUUUGACCACGGUAUAGUCAGCGACUGGGGUGAAGUCGUAACAAGGUAGCCGUA
rnacentral:rRNA from 1 species